GGGUGCUAUCAUACUAGCACUAAUGCAUGGAUCCUAUCAGAACUCCUCCGUAGUUAAGCGUGCUUGAACGAGAGUAAUAUUAGGAUAUGUGAUUUUUUAGGAAGUCCUCGUGUUGCACCAU
rnacentral:rRNA from 1 species